rnacentral:tRNA from 1 species
AAGACUUUAAGUUAAUAUAAACUAAAAACCUUCAAAGUUUUCAAUAGACCCCAUCUAAGUCUUG